ACCUUGUACGCCAUUCCAUAACUUACUAGAAUGUCCACUAUGAGCACUGAAAGAGGAAGCUUAUUAGGGGCACACACAUUCACACACAAAAAAAUUGGGGAGCAGUGGUGAAUAUCCACUCAAGUUGGAUACAAGCAAUUAUAAUAAUACCAAUGUCCAUAACUCUGUGUGCGUGUGUGUGUGUGUGUGUGUGUGUGUUUCAAUAAGUGGUUGUAGAAGCAGACAGUUGGAUGUUUAGGGCAGAAAAGAGAGCUUGAUUCUGGCAGGAGGAUGAAGUGGAUUAAACGAUACCUCAUGGAUAAGGCUUGCACACGUAAAGAAGUAAAGUAGGAGGGGGUGGCAUUUGGACAGAAAAGGCAGUUGCAGAGGGACUAGAAAUCUUCAUUUGCUUAAAGUGACAUCUUAUGAAUAACAGAGUUCAAAGGAGAAGAGGCUAUGAUCAGAAAAUAGUAUACUAGUUUCUGCUGUAGAACAUCUCCAGUUGAUGUAAAGAACAAGUAUGACCAUAGAAAAACAGAGAAGAAUGGAAAUAAAGGCCAUUGUAAUCAUGAAAAUCAAGGAAACUUGAAGUGAGGAAGUUGCUUCGGUAAUUCCUCCACCAUCUUAUAUACACAACAGAGGGCUCUACCCUGCCUGCCAGCAGGGUGCCAGCUGCUUACUGGUAACAGCUGUGGUGGCAGAAUGGACCUUUCUCAUGGAAAUAGUCAUUGUCUUCUCAGUAAGCUAAUGAUAUGAUGCAAUCAAAAGAAAAUGGAGCGCGAGCUUACAGUCUGAUGAAUCUUCAGACCUCUUGGAUGACGACAGCUAAUGAUACAAGUCAAGGGUGUGGGUAGUGCAGCUGGAGACCCACAGAAGGCACAGCAGUGAGUCACGUGAGCUCCUCAGAACCGGCCACCAGAACUUCACCACCCACCCUCACGCAUGGCAGGCAGAAGUUCUAAAAAUGUCCCAGAAGGGGACUCAGUCCCAAAGGCGGAACCACUUCUGGCAGACUGCAUCCUCCCUCCCUAAGUGCUUUUGGAAAUGUGGGAACAAACAUUUGCUCUGGUCUCCGGAAGAACGUAUGAAGACUAAACUGCUGUGGGUCUGGGAAAAGCUGAUGUCAGAGAUGCUUAUUUUCUCCAGUCACUGGAACUCAUUCAAAUCAGGAAUCAUGUGGCCCCUUCCUCAAUUAUCGAGAGCACUUCUAAAGGAAGAGUCAGCAGUGGAGGGCAAGCAGACAGCAGAAGAUGAAAGCUGCACCAAUUUUAAAACCUUUCCACCUGGAGGAUCAUCUCACUUUCCAGAGGCCUCUAUCCACUUUCUGCUAACAAGCUUCCAAGACAGACUGCCCUGCUCUCUAGCACCAUUCCUCCCCGCUCUCUCAUCUAGAGGUCCCUAAUAGUUGAGAUGUCUCUCCAGGAACUUGGAUCUGCAAAUCUUUGCAUUCUCAGAAGGUAAAUUCUACAUGUUCUGGGAGCAGGAAGACAACAGCUUAACCUACAGUGCAUGAGAAAGGCAAAAGCAAGAAAGUUAGACGUUUGGAUGGCAAGGCGAACUGUGCACCUCUGGGGUCCUUUAAACUUCACAAAGAGACACAGACAUGGGUAGUUUUAAAUGAGACAAUGUUCAGAUACUUGCAUGCUUCUACCCACUUUUAAUAUUUAAAAACUUCAAAAAUGCAGAAUAAAAUCCAUACGCCAUUUACCUAGAUUCAGCAAUUGUUCACAUUUUGCCACAUGUCUCUGGCCCUUCUCUACACAACACACACACACACACACACACACACACACACACACAUUUUUUGUUCAAGAAUUCCGAAGUUUCAGAUAUCAUAAUAUUUAUUCCUAAGUACUUAAAUAUGCAUCACCUAACAAUAAAGGAAUUGCUCUAUAUAACCACAAUUGCUCUAUAUGACCAGCCCGAGGCUCCUGAUUGCUUUGUCACAACUUUUACCAAAAAGAGCACUAACAAAGGCCUGAAGGUAAAGAGUAGAAGCCCAACAUCAUAUCAUUAUCUCACCUAAGAAAAUUAAUGCUAAUUUAUUAAUUAAAUUAAUACUAAUUUAUUAUUAUCAUCUAAUAUUCUAAAUUUUCUAUAGUUGUCCCCCUAAGCAUUCUAACUUCAUUGUUUCAUUUUAAAAAAUAUUUUAAAUCUAAUUAGAGUUUAUUCUCAGUAAUCAUUUAUUAUGCACCUUUCACCUAAAUACAGUGAUUCCCUCUUAUCCACACUGGAUAUGUUUCAAGACCCACAGUGAAUGCUUGAAACUGUGGAUAGUACCAAACCCAAUAUAUACUGUUUUUUUCUAUACAUACAUACCUAUGAUAAAGUUUGAUUCAUAAAUUAGCUACGGUAAUAGGUUAACAAUGACUAAUAAUAAAACGGAAAAAUUAAAACAAUAUACUGUAAUCAAAGUGAAUGUGGACUCUUUCAAAAUAUCUUUUUGUACUGUACUCAUCUAUAUCAGACAGUGAUAGUCCACAGGUAAAUGAAAGCACAGAAAGUGAAACUGAACUGAGGAUAAGUGUGGACUAGUGUAGUUGCCCCCCCCAUUCCUUUUAUGACAUGGAUUUUUAUGUUGUUUUUAAGAAUUUGUGUCACCUGACUUCUAGAACAUCCCAUUUUCUGAAUUUGUAUGAUUGAUUGUUCCUCGUGAUUAGAUUUAGGUUAAACUUUUCUGGCAGAAAUACUACAUAGUUGGCAUUGUGUCUCUCUUCUGAUAUCAGAAGUCACAUUAUGUCAGAUUGUUUCAUUAUUGAGGAUGUUAAGUUUGAGCACUUGGUUAAGGUGGUGUCCCCCAGAUCUCUCCACAGUAAAGGUACAUAUUUCCUUUUGUCAUUAAUAAAUAACAUGCAGGGUCAUUGCUUAGACCACAUAUGCCGCUGUUCCCCAUCUAUUAGCCAGCGAUUUUACCAUCCAUUGAUGAUUCUUGAUGCUUGACACAAGAAACCUUUGAACCCAAGACAGCCAAUGGGGUGUAGGCUGUGACAGGGUUAGCUGCAUGUUAUAUCCAUGGUAGUGGGAUAGCCAGAGAUCUGCCAUUACUACUGCCAGCAGUUCCCAGCUCAGGUGCCAAAAGAGAGAGAGAGAGAGAGAGAGAGGUGCACAGCUCAAGCUUCAUGCUGACCGUGGCAUUCUUACAGACUUCUGCUAACUCCCUCAGGCAGUCAUGCCCCUGAGACAUGAGAGAGACUCUCUCCCUCAGUCCUCUCCCCCAUCUCUAUCUCCAUCACCUAUUCAAGUGGAAUCCCGCAGCAAAGUGGCUUCAAUCCUGAAGUGUUAACAAAAUUUGCUGAGAGAUCUCUUUCAAUUCACAGUUACAGUCCACUUUCUCCAAGAUGUGUGUACUCAUAUUUCCAGGUGUGUCCAUCCCAACCAUAGGCAGUAGACAGAACCUAAAGCUCUCUCAGUCCUUAGGCCUUGACCAGCCCAGGUCCUGAUUGCUUUGUCGCAACUUUUUACUGAAAAGAGCACAAACAAAGGCCUGGAGGUAAAGAGUGGAAGCCCAACACCAAUUGCCCCCAAUGCACAUGGUAGCAUAGGGAGAAGAAUGUUGUCUCUCUCCUGUCAUCAGUACUAUGCAAUCAUAGCUUCAGCUCAAAGAAAACAGGGACCAGCUGACACAAGAGUGUAUCCAGAAUGAUAAUCAGGGGACCUAAACUUGUCAGAUUUUAACCUCCACCUGGACAUUAGGGCAGAAUCAUUUAGUUCAUUCCUUCACUUUAUAUAUAAGGGAACUAAGGUCCAAAGAGAAGAAGGGACUUGCUGAUGUUGAUACAACUUGUAAAUAAGAGAGUUAGUACUUGAAUAGGCAACCUUCCUGGGCCAAGAUAGGUGCCUUGUCUGUCUGUCUGUCUGUCUGUCUGUCUCUCUCUCUCUCUCUCUCUCUGUCUCUCUGUUUUCUUAACAGAUGGGGUCUUGUUCUCUCUCCCAGGUCUGGAGUGCAUUGGCACAAUCACAGCUCAUGGCAUCCUUGAAUUCCCAGACUUAAGUGAUCCUCCCACCUCAGCCUCUCAAAGUAGCUGGGACCAUAGGUAUGCACCACCACACCUGAAUAGGCCCUCACUCCUUUGUAAGACUUCUUUAAACAUUCUGUUUUGAUGUUCUGCUAAAUAAGGGGCCUGUUUUUUGUCUACAACAAAUUAUCAAUUUACAAAUAGUCCGUGAGUGAGUACUCAUAAAAUUUGGGGAAAAUUGAAAGACAUGAGAUCAAUCUAAUAACAAUUGUUUUAGGUCAAUGACUCAAAGGAGCAAGGACAUAAUAGGUUUCUAAAUUAAUUUUAAAUGGGUCCUUACAUAAAUUCCGGGGCUAAUGUUUUGAGAUGCUUCCCCCCAUGCAUUAGGUGAUGACUCAAAAGUACUAGCAAAGCCACUUUCAUUUUAGGAGGAUCUAGACAAUAUACUACAAAAUUAGCCCAAAUCUUCUCCUUGCCCUACUCCUACCACAAUCAAGGAAGAGGGACAAGGUUUUCCAUUUCCUUCAUCCUCUGCAGUGACGAUUUUGUGUCUUAAUUUUUUUCUUCAAUGCUCUUGCUAUUCAGCUUAUAUCGACAUCACUUGGAGAGAUUUGUGUUGUAGGCACAAUGGAUUCAUUCACUUGGAAUAAAUCAAGCGAAACCUCCCUGCUCUUAGUUCCCAAACACCCCGUUGCUCCUUCUCUCUUGACUUCCAGAAAGGAUUGAAGUACGUGAAAUUUUACGUAUAUAAAAAGGAAUAUUUAAAACAUGGCUAAUGUCCAAAGAAAGAAUCAAAUAAACAUAGGUAUAUCUACCACCCAGCUUAAGAAAGAGAAUAUUGAUUGGGAUUCUAACCCCUGCUUAUCCGUCCUUUGUUCUUCAGCCACCCUCCCCCAAGAGAGUAUCAGUAAUCUCAAAUUUUGUGCUCAUUAUUCCUUGCUUUCUUAUUGUUUGAUUGCCUAUGCUUGUAUUCCUUGCUUUAUUGUUAUUUUACCACUCAUAUUCAUAUCUCUGAACAACAAAGAAACACCAUGGACUGAAAUUUUUAUAAAUAGAGUCAUAUUGUGUUUAUUCUUCUCCUACUUUCGUUUUUGUUCAAUAUUAUGUUUCUGAGAUUGCUUAUAAUUAAUAUUCAGCUCUGAUUUAGUCCUUUCCGCCAUGAUAUAGUGUUCUACUUUAUGAAAAUACUACAGUUCAUCUACUCAUUCUUCUAAAAAUGGACACUAGGACUGUUUCCACU
rnacentral:lncRNA from 10 species